AUAAAGUAGCAAUACUUUGGUGGCGACCGGCGCACGGGUGAGUAACGCGUAUGCAACCCACUUAUCAGAGGGGAAUAACCCGGCGAAAGUCGGACUAAUACCGCAUAAAACAGGGACACCGCAUGGUGAUAUUUGUUAAAGAAAUUCGCUGAUAGAUGGGCAUGCGUUCCAUUAGGUAGUUGGUGAGGUAACGGCUCACCAAGCCGACGAUGGAUAGGGGAACUGAGAGGUUGGUCCCCCACACUGGUACUGAGACACGGACCAGACUCCUACGGGAGGCAGCAGUGAGGAAUAUUGGUCAAUGGGCGAGAGCCUGAACCAACCAAGUCGCGUGAAGGAAGAAGGAUCUAUGGUUCGUAAACUUCUUUUGCAGGGGAAUAAAGUGCAGGACGUGUCCUGUUUUGUAUGUACCCUGAGAAUAAGGAUCGGCUAACUCCGUGCCAGCAGCCGCGGUAAUACGGAGGAUCCGAGCGUUAUCCGGAUUUAUUGGGUUUAAAGGGUGCGUAGGUGGUUUGAUAAGUCAGCGGUGAAAGUUUGCAGCUUAACUGUAAAAAUGCCGUUGAAACUGUCGGACUUGAGUGUAAAUGAGGUAGGCGGAAUGCGUGGUGUAGCGGUGAAAUGCUUAGAUAUCACGAAGAACUCCGAUUG
rnacentral:rRNA from 1 species